GGCCGGGGGGAGAGGGGGGAAGGCAAUUGUCGCUGCCUUUGCUACCUCCCUGCCUUAGGUGCAACCCUCAGGGGACGCCCCUACAGCACCCUCACCGUGCAAAGCAUCCACGGGUGAACGUAUCAAAUCUUUUUUUUUUUUUUUUUUCGGACAGCUAACUUCGUAGCCCCAUCUCUCUCUCUCUCUCUCUCUCUCUCUCCCCCCUUCCCCCCUGCUUUUCUUUUGUAUCCUGGCCCCACUUAUUUUUGCGGUUAUAUAAAGUUUAAAAUCUGUCUCUGUACUGGACGAGCACCUCUUCCUAAAGUGUGGGUGUACCCCCCCCAUCCCGCAGCCUGCAUCCGCUCCCGGUCCCGCCGCCCGGGGUGAGCGGCGAUAAGGGACGCUGACGUUUCCUUGAAGGAGCUGCAGUGACUCAGAAGAACAAAAUUUCCUGCCCGGUAUUCAAUAAAACAAACAAAUGUCCCUUCUGUGCACUGCCCUGAUCCUGGCUGGGACAUUACUGAUAGGGAAAAGGAAAAAAAAGUAUUUUUAAAUGCCAAAAAGGGAAAUAAUAGGAAAUAAAAUCUGUCCCCUUAACUUGGAGGAGAGCGCAGAGAUCUGCUUCUAGAAAAGGUGGGGAUAUGCCCGAGGGCUGGACAAGUGCAGUUACGGAGAAAAAAAGAGAAACAUCCCCGCUCCGCAGAUUUUGUUUCUACUAUACACGGUUAUUUGGGAACACCGUGUACCCAGGAUUUAAUGGCUCAGUCGCUGCCUUGCGGGUGCACCGGGGGCACGUCAGGAGCGCUGAUGCAUGCACGAAGGCCAAGGUUAAAGGUGCAGCCGGGGACCUCCUCCCGGGGGGCGCGGGAAGGCACGGCGAGGGAUAUCACAGCCUCCACCUACUCUCCCCUGCCGGGGCGCAUUCCCGUUCGCAGCCCUGGCAGGGGUCAGGCGCGGCCGGGGGUUGCCGGGCUCCUGAGCCCUACAGGCGGCUGGAACUUUCCACCCGACGGGACGUUAUUCAUGCGCGUGUUUAGCCUCGCUGUCUGAGCGAUGGGCGCUGGGCUGCGGCCAGCGACUCCAGCUGCAACCUGCCCCCAUCCCCCCCCCCGCUCGGAGCCCAUCUUUUUGCUCUUUAUUUUUUUUCUCUCCACCCGCUGCUGCUGCCUUCCCCCACAACCGCCGCCGGCCGCUGGGCGGCAUCCCUUGGCAGCUGCCUGUACCCUGCGCCUCGGGGGGGAUGAUGGCAAGCACCCCAGCACAGCAGGGGUGCAGCUCAGUCAAACGCUGCUGCUCACCCUGAACAGCAAGACGGAUGAGCCGGGAUAAAGAGAGACCCCUCUUCGGCGAAGUGGGCACAGGUCUUUUAAAAGCGCUGCAAAGGCCUUAUACGGAAAGAGCUCCGAGCCCCCGGUAUCCUUCCCGGAGCAGGGGGGCCUUGUCCGGUCCCGCCGUCCCGGUGUGGGGAAGUGGAAGAGAGCUGGCGCCAGGGAAGGAUGGGGUGACGAGAGAGGCAAGGAAAUGCGGGCUGCGGCUGGCGGGACCUUACGUUCUCCCACUUGUUGCUUUCCUCUGUUGGGGAGCGAAACUACCACUCUCACUAAUCGAUAACGGUGAACCCCUUAACAGUAGAAACGAGCGAGAGAACGCAAGCAAGGAAAAGGUAGCUGAGACUGGAUGUGGCACUUAGUGCAAUGAUCUAGUAACCACGGCGGUGUUGGAUCAAGAGUUGGACUUGAUGAUCUCGGAGGUCUUUUCCAACCUGGUUGAUUCUAUGAUUCUAUGAUUCUCUUACUCCAAAGCCAAGUCUUAUAGAAAAGCAUCAGACAUUGUGAAUUUCCCAAUAAAUUGCGUUAAGAAUUUGUGUGGUCAGUGGAUUAGGACUCUACCGCUAAACAGUAAAUACAGGAGAAGAAUCAAAGAAUUACAGUGAGGUUUCACACUUGCGUUACUUUUCUACCGCAGACUAAAAAAAUGACAAACUGUCCUGAACUUCUAAAUUUAUAGUUUCAAAGGAAAGUAAAUAAAAAGUAAAAGGUGGACACUGAAAAUGAAAAAAAGAACAUGAGACUCCACAGAUGGAAUAUUAAAAAUUUAGAGAACUCUUUGCCCAAGGAUCUGUGCACUCCAAAAUAUGGAUGGGUUCAAGAAUGGAUGGACAAAUCAAUAGGAAAAAAAACACCCAGAAUUUGACUACAAAGGCAGCAUGUCUGACCUGGAAUGUUCCUGGACCACAAACUCCUGUGAGCCAUGGCUGGGUUGGAUCAUAUCACUGAAUAGUUGCCUGUUCUUUCCCUCUCCCAUAGUGGCACAGUGUUAGGUGGUGCACUGACCAACUAACCCAGUAACCCAGACUGACCUGCAUGGACCUUGGGCCCAUACUAGCAUUCUGACAGUCUUAUAUUGCACUUUGGAGUGGUGUGAUGGUGCUUUAUUAGUCACAGUGUUUAACCAACUCAGAAAACCCAAGGAACUGCUGAUUACUGUCAAGAAGGAAGAGAACCGAAUUGAUUUGUAACCUACUAUAAAGCAUUUGACUCUGCCAAGUAACUGUGUUCCAUGUAAAAGUAGCACUGAGUAAACAGAUGCUCAUCAAGCUCUUCACCAUGUCAGCAUCCAAAACAGGGCCCCGCUGCCAGGCUGUGAGAGAUGCAGAAAGACAUAGAGGCUGCUGGAACAGUGGGCGACCUAGGCAUGGGGCAGAGCAGGCACAACAUGCUGGCUUACUGUUAUGGGUUACCCCAGGGGCCUGCUGACACAGACAUUUUGGACAUGCCUAAUGUAAAGCCAGGGUAUUGCUCAGUGCAGUUCAAAGCACAUUCAGCAGUAGUUUGACUAUGUAAAUUCAUCUCCCUAGAAAAGCCUUGCUGUUUGGAGGGCUUCUUCAUCCAUGGUGGGCAGACAGAUGUUAGUCCUGCCUGGCAGUGUUUAAUUUAUGGGACAUACAGAAACUUCUCCCUCUUGCCCUUCAAGAAGGUCAGAGACUUCAGCAGCCCACAUGGUAACUGGAAUCUCUGAGUUCUUUUCUGACUCUGUCCUGGUCCUCAUUGUUUAGUAUGGAAUUCACUGCCUUAAUCCUUCAGAAAAUUAAUUCUCUGGUACCUUCUAAACUUCAGUUUGGCGAAGAAUUCAAUGCUGAAUGAAUGAAUUCCUGCUUACUUAUCGUGCUGAAUCAAGAUGCAGCAAGUUGCUAAAAUUACUUGGCUGACUCCGGAAGGAAACUUCUCCAAAUUCUGCAAAUAUUUUCAUCAGCAUUCGGCUUUGGCUUAAUUAAAGGAAGAUGGAAUUCCAGCUUUGGACUGUAGGAAUGACAUAGCCCCCAAAUACAGAAGAUGAUGGCACUCCUAACAGCAACUGUCUUCUGAAGCAAAAUCUCAAAAGCUUUUAUUUUCCUCCUGUAAAUCCCCAACAAACAAGUCUCUGACCUUGUAAUUAAGUUUCAUGUGCAACAGCCAAAAUUUUCAGUCAAGACCUUCAGGCUGCCCCCACAAAUGAUGUCUAUGAGUAGCAGCAAACAGAUAAGGAACUGAAUAGCAGCUUUAAUAACAAUCCCAACAGAGAUUUUAAAUCAAGAGCUUUCGAAUGCUGUCAACAGGUCUGCUAGACAUUGUGUUGACAGGAGGUUUAUUGACUGAAGCCCCUAUUGAUCUGGGAACAUCUGAUUGAUUUCAGUGUCAUAUUUUGCCAAAUACAAAUUUGAAACAUCUUUUAUUUCCCUUUUCUGAUGCUUACAGAGCAGGUUUACUGCAUUGUCAUUAAGAGGCUUUAGUGCCAAGGGAUUACGCUUGCAGGAUCACAGAGUGAUGCAGGGCUGUGCUGAGAAAAAAGUAAUUCCCAUCCUUGUAGAAAGCAGUGGAAAAUUACAGCAUCCUUUAUAUGAACUGACCUCUAGUUAGAAUAGCUGAUAAGCCCUGACCUCCAUUUUUUUUCCAACACUGGAUUUGACUCUAACGGAGCUGUUGUCAUUGUGACUUUAUGAACAAAUGUUGCAGGUAUUUUGGCCCAUAGCAGCUAGAGUGAGGUGACUGAAGAAAAAGCAUAUUUGUAUGCCUUCCCCUGAGUGUGCCACCCCAAGGUUCAUAAAAGUCCUUGAAAUAUUGCGUAACCUCUCCAGCUUAUAGUUCUCAUAAAAUUAUGUUGGAUGACAGAUACUUGAAUUCAUUAUUAUUGUUAUGAACUUAAAAUAAUUUACUGUGACUGCACAGAGAUUGCUCUUAUCAGAACUGAAUACUGCUAGUAUGAAAAAAAAUGUGAAAACAUCUGAUAGAAAAAUGAUAAAAAAAGGAUACAUGAGAAAAAUGAAGAUUUUUAGUGAUACUGUAAGUUCGGUCUGCUGGCUUCCUUUGGUCACAAGGCAGCCUUAUGUGAGAAGCUCAUAUGUGCUCCAAAAUGAAUAGUGUAAGCAUGUACUGUCUGCUAAUUCUUGUGCUCAGAUUUUUUCUUUCAAAAUUUUAGAUUUUGAAGGAUAAUAGCAGAAAUGCAUUUAGGCAUCUUCUAUCAAGGGCAUAAUCUGAACAAGUUUCCCUGCACCUCUUGAAUGAAUAUAUCUGCUGAAACACAAAUGUUAGCUGAACUAACCUAGCUAUGGGGUCAUCUCUUUUAUCUCUUUUUCCCUUAUCUCUUCAUCUAGUGUUCCACUAGGUGUUUGCUACCAUGAUAUCUCAAUGUCUCUUAUGCAUAUACAAAACCCCCAUCAUCAUCAUCAUCAUCAUCAUCAUCAUCAUCAUCAUCAUCAUCAUCAUCAUCAUCAUCAUCAUCGUUGUAAUUCAUUAUCUUAAAAGAAAGAUCUCUUUAAGCCUGUAAGUCCUCCAGCAACCUUGUAGAUAAGGCAUCAAAUGAUGUAAACAGUAAGCAAAUUUGUCAGAGAGGAAUUUUUGUUAGAGAAACGUUCAGCUGGCUGCUAACUCAAAACAAAAACUUGGAUUCUUGGAGAUGUGAAAACAGAGGACUGCUAAAGGGAGAAUCACACUGCCAGGUGUUAAUGCUUUUUCUCUUGGUGAUACCACCAUAUCUCUUGCCAUUAUGUUGACUGCUUCAAUAUCCCUUAUUAUUUGUAGGAGAUUUUCUUUCAAGAAGUGUUAAAAGGCUUCCUGGGCAGAAGGAUGUAAAACGUACAUGCUAUACAGGGCUUUAUCUAUAGUGAUUUGUGUCUAGUGAUUUAUAAUUUUAGGAGAUAUUUGCAGGACGCAGAUAAAAGUAGGGUUUAUUACAGUAUUUCUGAGGGUAGAUUAAUUAGUCUAAGCUAGAUAGCGAGGGAAGAAGUGUUAAUUUUGCCCUAGGUAACUGCUCCAUUCAUAAUAUAUUUACCCUCAUUACAUUUUGGUACUUAAUUUAGACAUAUAGCUACCAAAGGUACCCUCCUUGGUCAGAAGAAACAAAUAAGUGCCCUGAAGGCAACUCAGUCCAUCUGUGGCCUGAAUCAUUAGGCAGUGUCUAAUGUUUAGUUGAAGGAAUUUGGUCCUGAAACCUAGAGAUAGGUAGAAGCUUUUCUGAAUUACAGGUGAUUUUUUUUCUUAUUUCUGGAGCUUCAUGUGUAAAAUAUAUAGAAUUGCUUUAGAGGAUCGUAUUGUCAACAUAGCUUGAGAGCUGGUCAUUUAGUUCCAGAUUUAUAUAUAUUUGCAUAUAUUCACAUAAUAUAUGUAUUUAUGUGUUUAUAUAUUUACAUUAUUUAUAUAUAUAUUUACAUAUAUUUACAUAUAUUUACAUCAAGAGAAAAAAGUCCUGUGGCAAGUUUAAAUACCAUACAUAUGGUCAGAGAUUUCUAACCUAACUUAGUCCAGUCUACUUAUGGACCUGGAAUAAUACUUGUAACGUUGGUAUAAUGCACCAUGGUUCUCCUCAAGGAUGGAUUAUAUACAUCUUGUCUUCCAGCUAGCAGCCCUGUGUGGUUGUGUAUUAUACUGGAUAUACAAACCAUACCUGUUUUCUUGAAAUUAAUUGACAUUAUCUUGCCUUGCACUGUGCCUGAUAUCAUCUCAGACAGAUGUGAAACUAUUAGUUCUAUUUUACAAAAGUGGGAAUUAAACCGCAGCAUAGACGGUAUGUCUCAUCUGAGGGAAGUCUGUGGCAGAACCAAAAAUUAAAUGCAAAAUUGACUUUCUACCAUUCUAGUAUCUGGAUUAAGAUUGUGUACAGCAAUAUAUAUUCCGUAUCAGCCAACCUUAUUUGUAUAAUUACAUGUGUUGUAAACAGAAAAUUUGGCUUGUCAAGAGCCAGAGCAGGCAGUGCAGGCAUUUGCAGUACCUUGGAGGAAUGCUGCCUAGAUAUCUGAUAUUACUAUAGCCCUCGUUCCCUUCCCAUCAGGAGCUAUCCAUUAUAGUGAAAAAUGAGGGACUUGGAACACUGACACCUAAAAGGCUGUUAUUCAAAAAAGGAUCUGAAUCCAAAUUUGGGGAGAAACGAAGGAAGUAUAACCAUAUCCACAUUGAACUGGCAACUUGUAACAUCACCUGCCACCAUCCAGCAUGUUGGAAAUGCCAGGAAAGUGCUUUUCUCACAGCACAUGAUCACCACAAAGAAUAUUACUGGAAGACAAAGGAGUCCCAUAGCUGUUUAACAGGCAGACCCAGAAAGAAAAAACCACAAACAUCUCCAGCACUAAUUUCUGUUUUUCACUUCCAGAUGCCAUUUUUGAACCUGCUCAGUCAUUCACAGCACUGUGAAUCUCUUUAUAGUAUUCCAAUUAGUCCAAAUUUUUUUAACACCUUAAGCCCCAGAGUGAAUUGCAAACCUUUGAUAUGCAUUUUAUUUACUUUGCCAGAAGCUGCCUUUACUUUUUUGUUAAUGUUUUAUAUGAUUCCACAAAGAAAAGCUUAUCUUCAGGCAGCCAAGCUCAAGUGUUUUGUCCAUAGGUUUACUAGACUUCAGGGCCAAAAGAAGUGGCUGGAACAUCUAACCUGGCUGUCUGUGUAACAGAGACUUGCAUUUGCUGCUAUGUAUAUCAGGUCCAACAACUUCACCUCUGAGGUUUCUUGUCUCUUCCUCUUAACUCAAGUUUAAAUAUCUCCACAUUUUCAUCCAAUUCAAGGAUUAGAAUCGGGAGGUUUGACAAGCAUAGACACCCACCCGUGCAUAGUCAUGCAGUAGACCACAGGCUGUGGGUAUGUGACCUUUCCAGCCUUCAGCAAGAGCUUCCUCGCCCCAAUGCGUCUGCAUCUACUCAUCAGUGCUCACAUGGUGGGUGUUACCAACCACUGGAGCUCCCACUGACUUGCAUUAGUCAGCCAGGUGAUGAGCACCUGGGCACAGCCUCUUCAGCUGGCACUGCUGAAGCUGGAGGCAGAUGUGUAUCCCAGCCUGCUUAGUCAUUUUGAAAGGCAAACUGUAAGCAUAGUGCCAUUGAUCUUACACCCACUGGCUGCAUUCUUAUUUUAAACUCCUGAAGAAAAGAAGAAUACAGAUUUGGAAGUGUGCCAUGCUCCAAGUGGUUGGUUAUACUACUGUGAUGCUCCCAUCAGAACCUUGUAAUAGAGUAUUUUUUUCAGAGAAUACCUGCAUGCAGAAAUGGUGAAAAGCAGGUCUAGCAUAGUGGAUUACUGGUGAACGCAGUGUGACUGGUACAUAAUUCUCAGUGUGAGGCUAAUUUCUAUACCUUCAGUGAGAUCAACACAACACCUCUCUGCCUAGCUGAAUAUCAUAUAUUGAUCCUUCAUACAAGACAGACUUAAUAAUGCUGUAAUUUUUUUUUUUUUAAAGCAAGGACACGAGAAAGAAAAUCAACCACCUGUAUGUAUUUUUAAUAGGACAUCAGAAAAGUUAACUCCUGAAACUCUGAUGUGUUGCAAAUGUGCCUCAGCCUGCUGCCAUAUAGAAAACAUUACUAAGUAGCUUGUAUUCUGUUGACAGUGGUGCUCUUUAGAAAUAUAGUUAAAGUGACAGGUGAAGAAACUGAAGCAUAAAGAGAUUAAGCAAAGUACUUUCCCAUGAGAUAGGGGAUUGAAAACAAGACUUUUGGCCUUCAGUGUUGUACUGCUCGUGUAGACAGACGAGCCACUGAGGGAAAUUGUAUAGUUUAAAUGCAGAAAGACUAAGCAUAAUUUAGCUGCCAAUGGCAGCUUUAGUCACUUGCAAAGCAUAGCACUCUGGACUUCUCUACAGUUACAGGGAACUCUGUUACUAGUGCUAUUAUUCAUGAUUUUCAUUUAGUAAUGAUUUUCACUUAUGCUUGUUUUUUAUCCAGAGCCCUUUAAAGCCUCACACAGGCAAACAUUAACAGUGACAUUUUAUAGAAUGAAGAGGUGGGGAAGUUGGAUGACUUGGGUCAUUGUCAUAUGAUGAGCCUGAAAUAGAAUAAACAUUUGUAAAGCUUGUGACUUUCAAUCCCAUGCUCAACUCAUUGGACAUAUAGUCCACCUCCUACAAAGCAAAACUUGACAGCAGUUUUGCUCGUUUGUUGACUUACCCAGGCUAACUGACUCUAAACAACUAUCAAAUCACAGGUCAAAUCACAGCUAUUGUAUUCUGAAUCAAAAUCAAAUGCUGUGUUCUCCUGAGUUUCAAGAAGUUUGCAAGUAGCACACUGGUUUUGACUUGUUCCAGUGUUUUGAGAUCUUAGUGCUUUUUAUAGAAAGAUAAUGAGCAGAGAAAAAUAGGGAAUUUCUCAAAAAGGAAGAAAAUCUGUUUGUACCAGAUAUGAAAGUAUGACAUACGCAAUGAGGUCCAUAUGCCAGAUUCAGCUGCGUAGUAACUCUGUAUCAUUCUAAUCCUAUUUUGACUUCACUAUAUCUGCUUCAAAAUGGAUAGUAAAUAAUAGUAAAAUAUGCUCAGCUUUGUCUGGAGAUAGCAUUUUGAAGUAUUUUUUACAGACCACAUUUUUCUCAUAUUUAGUAUUAUGUAUAGAUAUAUUUUUGUCACUGUGAUUGUGUUUUUCAUUUAAUACAUAUUUAUUCUAUCUUGUUUAACUUUUCUGUGUUGAACAGCAUACACAGAACUUACAACUAUUUCAUCCAGUUUCAGGUCACGCUGAUGAAAGAUCUGUAAUCACUCCCCAGAGCCCCAGAACAUUCACCUUGAUUGUGUCAAGUAUAUUUGUCUUUAGAUACUGCAGCCGCAACUAUUAAACUUCCAAGUCACUUUGGUUGUGUGAGUUGAGUCAUGGAAUAAAAUAAAAUAAAAUUACUUCUAUUAAUGCA